rnacentral:rRNA from 1 species
GAAACUACUUCGGUAGUGAAUUAGCGGCGAACGGGUGAGGAACACGUGAGGAAUCUGCCUUCUACACUGGGAUAACUCCGGGAAACCGGGGCUAAUACCGGAUAUGAAACUUGGUGGCAUCACCGAGUUUGGAAAGUUUUUCGGUAGAAGAUGACCUCGCGGCCUAUCAGCUUGUUGGUGAGGUAAUGGCUCACCAAGGCGACGACGGGUAGCCGGCCUGAGAGGGCGACCGGCCACACUGGGACUGAGACACGGCCCAUACUCCUACGGGAGGCAGCAGUGGGGAAUAUUGGGCAAUGGAGGAAACUCUGACCCAGCGACGCCGCGUGCGGGAUGAAGGCCUUCGGGUUGUANACCGCUUUCAGUAGGGAAGAAGCGAAAGUGACGGUACCUACAGAAGAAGCACCGGCUAACUAUGUGCCAGCAGCCGCGGUAAUACAUAGGGUGCAAGCGUUGUCCGGAAUUAUUGGGCGUAAAGAGCUCGUAGGUGGUUCGUUACGUCGGAUGUGAAAAUCUGGGGCUCAACCCCAGACCUGCAUCCGAUACGGUCGAGCUAGAGUUUGGUAGGGGAGACUGGAAUUCCUGGUGUAGCGGUGGAAUGCGCAGAUAUCAGGAGGAACACCAAUGGCGAAGGCAGGUCUCUGGGCCAAUACUGACACUGAGGAGCGAAAGCGUGGGGAGCGAACAGGAUUAGAUACCCUGGUAGUCCACGCCGUAAACGGUGGGCGCUAGUUGUGGGAACCUUCCACGGUUUCUGCGACGCAGCUAACGCAUUAAGCGCCCCGCCUGGGGAGUACGAUCGCAAGGUUAAAACUCAAAGGAAUU